rnacentral:rRNA from 1 species
GACGAACGCUGGCGGCGUGCUUAACACAUGCCAGUCGAACGGAAAGGCCCUGCUUUUGUGGGGUGCUCGAGUGGCGAACGGGUGAGUAACACGUGAGUAACCUGCCCUUGACUUUGGGAUAACUUCAGGAAACUGGGGCUAAUACCGGAUAGGAGCUCCUGCUGCAUGGUGGGGGUUGGAAAGUUUCGGCGGUUGGGGAUGGACUCGCGGCUUAUCAGCUUGUUGGUGGGGUAGUGGCUUACCAAGGCUUUGACGGGUAGCCGGCCGGAGAGGGUGACCGGCCACAUUGGGACUGAGAUACGGCCCAGACUCCUACGGGAGGCAGCAGUGGGGAAUAUUGCACAAUGGGCGGAAGCCUGAUGCAGCAACGCCGCGUGCGGGAUGACGGCCUUCGGGUUGUAAACCGCUUUCGCCUGUGACGAAGCGUGAGUGACGGUAAUGGGUAAAGAAGCACCGGCGAACUACGU